rnacentral:rRNA from 1 species
UACAGAGGUCUCAAGCGUUGCUCGGAUUCAUUGGGCGUAAAGGGCGCGUAGGCGGCGCGGUAAGUCGGGUGUGAAAUCUCGGGGCUUAACUCCGAAACUGCAUUCGAUACUGCCGUGCUUGAGGACUGGAGAGGAGACUGGAAUUUACGGUGUAGCGGUGAAAUGCGUAGAUAUCGUAAGGAAGACCAGUGGCGAAGGCGGGUCUCUGGACAGUUCCUGACGCUGAGGCACGAAGGCCAGGGGAGCAAACGGG